rnacentral:rRNA from 1 species
GUUCAUCACAUUUCUGCCCUGGUCAACUGCAUCCCACCCACUGCUGGCUUGCUUCUGAAGCUAAGCAGGGUUGGUCCUGCUCAGUCCCUGGAUGGGAGACCAGAUGCUGCAGGAAGUGGUGUUUG